rnacentral:rRNA from 1 species
UGGGGAAUAUUGGACAAUGGGCGCAAGCCUGAUCCAGCCAUGCCGCGUGAGUGACGAAGGUCUUCGGAUUGUAAAGCUCUUUUGGCGGGGACGAUAAUGACGGUACCCGCAGAAUAAGCCCCGGCUAACUUCGUGCCAGCAGCCGCGGUAAUACGAAGGGGGCUAGCGUUGUUCGGAAUUACUGGGCGUAAAGCGCACGUAGGCGGACUGAUAAGUCAGGGGUGAAAUCCCGGGGCUCAACCUCGGAACUGCCUUUGAUACUGUUAGUCUCGAGUCCGGAAGAGGUGAGUGGAAUUCCUAGUGUAGAGGUGAAAUUCGUAGAUAUUAGGAAGAACACCAGUGGCGAAGGCGGCUCACUGGUCCGGUACUGACGCUGAGGUGCGAAAGCGUGGGGAGCAAACAGGAUUAGAUACCCGUGUAGUCCCUGAGCGGGCUGGCAAGGCGCAU